AGAGUUUGAUCAUGGCUCAGGAUGAACGCUAGCUACAGGCUUAACACAUGCAAGUCGAGGGGAAACGACAUCGAAAGCUUGCUUUUGAUGGGCGUCGACCGGCGCACGGGUGAGUAACGCGUAUCCAACCUGCCCACCACUUGGGGAUAACCUUGCGAAAGUAAGACUAAUACCCAAUGACGUCUCUAGAAGACAUCUGAAGGAGAUUAAAGAUUUAUCGGUGAUGGAUGGGGAUGCGUCUGAUUAGCUUGUUGGCGGGGUAACGGCCCACAAGGCGACGAUCAGUAGGGGUUCUGAGAGGAAGGUCCCCCANAUUGGAACUGAGACACGGUCCAAACUCCGUACGGAGGCA
rnacentral:rRNA from 1 species